AGUUCACAUCGACGGAGUGGUUUGGCACCUCGAUGUCGGCUCAUCGCAUCCUGGGGCUGAAGUAGGUCCCAAGGGUUGGGCUGUUCGCCCAUUAAAGCGGUACGCGAGCUGGGUUCAGAACGUCGUGAGACAGUUCGGUCCCUAUCCGGCGUGGGCGUAGGAUAUUUGAGAGGAGCUGUCCUUAGUACGAGAGGACCGGGAUGGACUGACCUCUGGUGUAUCUGUUAGACUAUCAAGUCUAUGGCAGAGUAGCCAAGUCGGGAAGGGAUAAACGCUGAAGGCAUCUAAGCGUGAAGCCCCCCUCAAGAUGAGAUAUCCCAUACGCAAGUAGUAAGACCCCUUGAAGACGACGAGGUAGAUAGGGCAGAGGUGGAAGCAUGGCAACAUGUGUAGCUGACUGUUACUAAUAGGUCGAGGGCUUAACCAA
rnacentral:ncRNA from 1 species